rnacentral:rRNA from 1 species
GACGAACGCUGGCGGCGUGCUUAACACAUGCAAGUCGAACGGAAAGGCCCUGCUUUUGUGGGGUGCUCGAGUGGCGAACGGGUGAGUAACACGUGAGUAACCUGCCCUUGACUUUGGGAUAACUUCAGGAAACUGGGGCUAAUACCGGAUAGGAGCUCCUGCUGCAUGGUGGGGGUUGGAAAGUUUCGGCGGUUGGGGAUGGACUCGCGGCUUAUCAGCUUGUUGGUGGGGUAGUGGCUUACCAAGGCUUUGACGGGUAGCCGGCCUGAGAGGGUGACCGGCCACAGUGGGACUGAGAGACGGCCCAGACUCCUACGGGAGGCAGCAGUGGGGAAUAUGGCACAAUGGGCGGAAGCCUGAGGCAGCAACGCCGCGUGCGGGAUGACGGCCUUCGGGUUGUAAACCGCUUUCGCCUGUGACGAAGCGUGAGUGACGGUAAUGGGUAAAGAAGCACCGGCUAACUACGUG